AUGGCGUGUCUGGCGCCGCACUUCAAGUGGGCCCCGUCUUCGUUCUCCACCACCCACGCGUACCAGCACCCUUCCUCGUCGUCCUCAUCCUCCAACUCAGGCAGGUGCUCCGGCCGCCGCCCCUUCCGUGUCCAGUGCGCUGUCACUUCUGCUGCUGCAGCAGUCGUCGACGCUGACCACGCGGCUGGUGGGCCGCUCCACCUCGUUUACUCGUCUCCGGACUCGGCGCCGGUUCUCCAGAGAAAUUUUGAGUCAACUCUGGCAUCAGAAACAGUUCUGAACAAAGAGGCUGUUGUAACUGCUGCAGCUGCAGAGGCAGUUGCCCUUGCAAGAGCAGCAGCUGAAGCUGCCCAAGAAGUUGUUCACAUGGUACAGAAGAGUAGUUCCCAGCCCGUGUUCAGAAAAAAAGGGGAAGUGGAAAAUUACUUGGCGAAAGAAAUCCUUCGCACAGAAAUGUUAUCGAGCAGGGCAAAUGAAUAUAGUGAUGGUGAACCAUAUGGCAUUCCGAGUGAUGAAGCAGAACUAGAUGAUGAUACACAGGACGCUGAUAACAUAGCUGUUAAGUCUGCACGUCAAUCCGAGAGAAGAGCUCGGAGAACAAGAGCAACAAUGAAGGCAGCUACAAUAGUCCGUAGUUCCCCAAAACUAGCAGCGUCAUCGAAGAAGAAGCGAUCCAAGGGUCCAUCGACCAUGAAUCCUUUAGGUUCCUUAUGGAAGAUGACUGGCCGAAAACUUCUUACAGCAAAGGAAGAGGUUGAGCUCUCGAAUGGUAUUCAGGAUCUCUUGAAGCUGGAGGCAAUUCAAGGUGAGCUUGCAGAGUACAAUGGUGGUCAACCAACCUUCCCACAGUGGGCAGCUGCAGCUGGAACUGAUGAGAACACUUUGCGGAAACGUCUUGAUCAUGGUAUUCAUUGCAAAAACAGAAUGGUAACAUCUAAUGUGCGACUUGUAAUCUCUAUUGCCAGAGAAUUUGAAGGUCCAGGGUUGGAGCUUUAUGAUCUUAUUCAGGAAGGAAUGCAGGGCCUUAUAAGAGGUGCUGAAAAGUUUGAUGCAUCAAAGGGUUUUCGGUUCUCUACAUAUUCUCACUGGUGGAUCAAACAAGCUAUGCGAAAAUCUGUCUCUGAGCAAACCCAGAUAUUUCGCUUACCAUUCAUUUGCUUCAACUUACCAGACAGUAGGCAUGGAUCUUACCAGACGGCUCACAUGGUUGAGGCAAGUUAUCGUGUGAAGGAGUGCACAAAACGACUUCGCCGUAAACUUAAAAGGCGACCCUCUAAUGAGGAAAUAGCAGUGGACACUGGUAUGCCAGUCAAACGUGUCGAAGCAGCAGUGAACCUCCCGAAGUAUAGUGUAUCCCUUGAUAGCAAAAUUGGAAGCACAGACAUGACCUACCAGGAGGUCACAGCUGAUCCCAGCGCCGAGACAGCUGAAGAAAUGCUGAAUAGAAUGUCAAUGAAGAAAGAUGUGCAUCAGGCACUGGAUACUCUGAGCCCACGUGAGAGACAAGUUGUCAAGCUUAGGUUUGGAAUCGAUGAUGGUAGGAUAAGAACUUUGCAGGAGAUUGGCAACAUCAUGGGUGUCAGCAGGGAGAGGAUUCGGCAGAUCGAAUCGGGUGCAUUUCGGAAACUGAGAGGCAAGAAAAAGGUGAAGUGUUUGAUGGAUUAUCUGGUGCCUGUAGGCAAUUGGUGA
rnacentral:rRNA from 1 species